UCUACUAUCAUCUCAUAAGGAACGACCAAAAUCAAUAUAGUUGGUGGCGGAUUCGUGGUCUAGUGGAAACACAUUUGACUGUCAAUCCAGGGGUUGCAGGUUCGAUUCCCUGCCGCAUCAUAUGCCACUUGAAGAGCCACGCCUUCGUUUUAUUACCAGAGUGUGAUAAGAGCGGGACGGUGCAGUAAUUUGAAAGCGGUGGUGUAUUUGGUCUUUUAAAAUACAAUAACAAUCUAUCAACGAGCGAGUAUAUGGCAAAAGCAAAUCAUCGGAGCUGUUUUAAAUGUCAUAGAGUGAAACAGGAUAUAAAUAGGAUAAUGUAAGGAUAUAAAUGAUUUCAAUGUGCAGAAGGAAUCAGCGUUCACCAAACACUAUUGAACUCCUCAACUUGAUAAAGGCUGUACAUUCAUUGAUCGCAUGCGAAACGAUAAAAUGAUGUCACUUCUCACGUGUUCGAUAGUUCUUAGCAUCCUCACCAUCACAAGUGCUUUUCCGGAUCAAACGAACCCCUUUGAUUUGUGCGAUACACCAAUACCGGAUGACAAAAACGACUGCGGAAUUGCUGGCGUAUGGCGUAACCAACUGCAGUCGGUGAUGAAGUUCACCUGCGUUGCGGGUCACAUCGAGGGCCAGUAUUACACUGCUGUUGGUAAUGCUGAUGGUUUCUAUGACUUCGCUGGAAAGUUCCAGAUGCCAGACCAAAACACGACCGUUUUGGGAUGGGUGGUUGCCUUCAAUAACCUUUUAUACGGGAAUUCCAACUCCACAUGCGCUUGGUCCGGAAUCCACUACAGCCAUGAAGGUAUUAUCCACACCCAUUGGCUUCUGACGCACUACUUUCCACGCGCAAACCUCUGGAGGACAACUACCAUGAAUCACGACGACUUUAACAAAGUUUGCUGAAGAGCUUUAACAUUUGACUUUUAUGUGUAUACUUUGCUCAGUUUUCAGUCGCCAACUUAAACAAUUAUCAUGGUAAUCAUAAUUUAUUUUCUUAAAGAUGCACUCUUACAGAUUGACCGUUUUGACAUUUUUUUUCUCCGAAUGAGCCAAUUUUUAGCGUAAAUGUCUGGAAACUAGUGAUACAAGAUUGCUGACAAAGAUUAUAUCGCAGUUUUUUAUAUUUUGGUGCGAGAAUUGAUGUUUUAUGGCUUACGCUUUAGGAUUUUUUUUUUGAAAUUUUGGCAGCUUCCUUAACCAUUGAUAUCUACUCUACUGUGUGUUAUCUUAAAUGAAAAAUUUGAAUGCAUUGAUACCAAUCAGCAAUUCUGAGACAAAACUAAAUAAAAAAUGUCAGUCUGUGAGUGUGCAGCUUUAACAAUACAUUUGUUGAUGGUUUACUUUAAAAAGUAUUGCAUAUACCUUUGCAAAUUAAUUUCAAAUAACGCGCAACUGUAAACAUGCGUGCCCAUUGUAUCCAUCUUUCAUUACAAAAUGAUCAAUAUAAAAUACCAACCAUAACUUACAUCACAACAGCAUUGUAUAGCAACUUAUUGUUUUGUUUCAUUUCAUCUAACGAAAUCAAUGUAUUUUUAUUGCUUUGCAUACUUUUUUAUCAUAUAAGUAUGGAUGUCAUGCAAGUCGCUUUGAAAUAAACGUGUGUAUUCGGA